rnacentral:rRNA from 1 species
CCUACGGGGGGCAGCAGUGGGGAAUAUUGCACAAUGGGCGCAAGCCUGAUGCAGCCAUGCCGCGUGUGUGAAGAAGGCCUUCGGGUUGUAAAGCACUUUCAGCGGGGAGGAAGGCGUUAAGGUUAAUAACCUUGGCGAUUGACGUUACCCGCAGAAGAAGCACCGGCUAACUCCGUGCCAGCAGCCGCGGUAAUACGGAGGGUGCAAGCGUUAAUCGGAAUUACUGGGCGUAAAGCGCACGCAGGCGGUCUGUCAAGUCGGAUGUGAAAUCCCCGGGCUCAACCUGGGAACUGCAUUCGAAACUGGCAGGCUAGAGUCUUGUAGAGGGGGGUAGAAUUCCAGGUGUAGCGGUGAAAUGCGUAGAGAUCUGGAGGAAUACCGGUGGCGAAGGCGGCCCCCUGGACAAAGACUGACGCUCAGGUACGAAAGCGUGGGGAGCAAACAGGAUUAGAUACCCGGGUAGUC